UGCUAGUCGCGUGCUUCAGCCAAAACGAGGCACGGCAAACAGCUCAGUAACACGUGGCUAAUCUGCCCUUAGGACGCGAACAACCCCGGGAAACUGGGGCUAAUUCUCGAUAGGUGAAGAACUCUGGAAUGAGUCUUUGCCUAAAAGAGCUUACGUUAUGCUCGUAAGUUUCGCCUAAGGAUGAGGCCGCGACCGAUCAGGUUGUUGGUGAGGUAAUGGCUCACCAAGCCUUUUACCGGUGCGGGCCGUGAGAGCGGGAGCCCGGAGAUGGGCACUGAGACAAGGGCCCAGGCCCUACGGGGCGCAGCAGUCGCGAAAACUUUGCAAUACACGAAAGUGUGACAGGGCUAUCCCGAGUGCCAUCCGCUGAGGAAGGCUUUUACCCAGUCUAGAACGCUGGGGGAAUAAGGAGAGGGCAUGUCUGGUGUCAGCCGCCGCGGUAAUACCAGCUCUCCGAGUGGUGUGGAUGUUUAUUGGGCCUAAAGCAUCCGUAGCUGGCUAGGUAAGUCCCCUGUUAAAUCCACCGAAUUAAUCGUUGGAUCGCGGGGGAUACUGCUUGGCUAGGGGACGAGAGAGGCAGACGGUAUUUUUGGGGUAGGGGUGAAAUCCUAUAAUCCCAGGAAGACCACCAGUGGCGAAGGCUGUCUGCUAGAACGCGCCCGACGGUGAGGGAUGAAAGCUGGGGGAGCGAACCGGAUUAGAUACCCGGGUAGUCCCAGCUGUAAACGAUGCAGACUAGGUGUUUGGACGGCCACGUGCCGUUCUAGUGCCGCAGGAAAGCUGUUAAGUCUGCCGCCUGGGGAGUACGAUCGCAAGAUUGAAACUUAA
rnacentral:rRNA from 1 species